ACUCAGCGCGUUGCCGCUGUUCUUGAGCCGGGCCGUCCCGCCUCGCCGGUGACCUGGCCUCGCCGGCGGCGCAGUUUGACGUUGGCUCCACUGCAGACAGUGACCACGGGUGACUUGUUUGUCGCCGCCUCCUCCUCGUGUCCGGUGUUUAAACACAAGGGAGGGAGAAAAUAAAAUAAAACCACGGAUGCUGGAAAUCCGAGGCGAAAAACAGAAAGCGCUGCAAAUUCACGAGAUGUCAAGCAACGCCUGUUGAAAGUGAUUCUUCCAUCAGGAAUGAAACGUUUACGUUUUUUUUCUCUUCAUAGGUGACGCCUGACCAGCAUUUUCUGUUUUUUUUUGUCAGAUUUCCAGUAUCUGCAGUUCUUUACCUUUUAAGUUCCACUGAAUGACCAACCUGAAAGCAACUAUUUUUCUCUCGCCUCUGAUGAGUAAUCCAGACAUUUGCACGUAUAUUAUUUUACCCAUGUUUUGAAUGACUUGACUUGGGCAAUCAGACUUUUUUCAAAUACUCCUAUACUUUUAUAAAGCAUUUUUCAAGCUAGUGAUAACAUUUUCAUGUAGUUCUCAGGAAUACAACUCCUAUAACUAAGGAAACUUCUGAAGGAAGGGUCUCGACUGAAAAUGUUACCCAUCCCUUCUCUCCAGAGAUGCUGCCUCUCCUGCUGAGUUACUCCAUCAUUUUGUGUAUAUCUUUGGUGUAAACCAACAUCUGCAGUUCCUUCCUAGUCCUGUAACUCAGGGCUGCCUGUAUAUUAAAAAAUAAACACAGAAAAUGCCAAAAAUAUAGACAUGACUUGAAAAACAAAUGCUUUUCACUGUACCUAGGUACACAUGACAAUAAACUAAACUAAAUGAAAUCUGCUGAGUAUUUCCAGCAUUUUCUGCUUUUUAGCAAACAUGAAACUGCUGGUGGAAUUCAGUGGAUCAGGCAGAAUCUGUGGGGGGAACAUAUUUUUUUGGGCUGGGACCUUUAUUGUUAAUGAAAUAGAGGGGAGAUAACUGGGGAAAAAGAAGAGAAGGGGAUGGACAAAACCUGGCAAGUGGUGGUGGAUCCAGUGGGGAAUUAAAUGUAGAACCAGAGGGAGGGAUAGAGGGUAGAGGAGAACAGGGGAAAGACAAAUGUGUUCAUGUCUUUAGGUUCAAUGUUGCUUUAUUUUUCAUAUGCAAUUUUCACAGUCCAAAGUCAGGUAGGCCCACAGGUUCGAUAUACUUAAGCAGUUCCUGCAAACCGACGUCCUUCUCCUAGACAGACAGAUUGGUAUGGAAAUGUGAGGGGAAUUAAAAAUGGCAAGAAAUCAUAUGCUCAAGCUGGCCCUGCUGGACAGACCACAAGUGUUAGGCAAAGUGGUUCCCUUGUCAAAGCUUAAUCUCACCAAUUUAGAAGAAGCCACAUCAAGAGCAUUAGAUGCAAUAUACAAGGUUUAAGGGGGUGCUCUGUCUCACCUUCAACCGUUCCUCAUAAUUCCAGCAACUGCAGUUUCUUGUUUCUGCAUUUUUUACUUUUAGUUUUCCAGUUUCUGCAGUUAAAAAAACAAAACAAUUCAAUGUAUAUUUGAGUUUGGGAGUAUUCACUAUGUGCUAUCUUUGCCUGCAUAUCGUACCUAUGAUCGAUGAAGCUUUAUAUUUUAGCUAUUCCAUUCACAUUAUGCAUCCUUCAAUGCAAUAAUUAUGAGAAUAAGGCUUUAUACUGCAAUAAGGCAAUAACUGGACAUCCAUGUAAAAUAAUUGUUUAGAGUAUAGGGGAACUGUUCCCCUUACCUUGAGUACUAGCAAUAUUUUGGGGGAAGAGGGCAAUAUACAGUCAGCCACCCACCCAGCGGACAGCAGUUGCCUUCUCAAACUUUGUGAAUACUUUCCAGAUAUUUAUAAUCUGUAACAAUUCUCAAAUCAUUGUAGACUAUGUUACAAUAUAAAUAAUUUUAAUCUGCUCUAUAUUUGUCUUGUACGUCUAAUGGAUACAAUUGUAUUACCAUUAAUUUUUCUUAUUAAACUGAAAGCUUGAAAAGUUGA